GAUGAACGCUGGCGGCGUGCCUAACACAUGCAAGUCGAGCGAACGGACGAGAAGCUUGCUUCUCUGAUGUUAGCGGCGGACGGGUGAGUAAGACGUGGAUAACCUUCCUAUAAGACUGGGAUAAUUUCGGGAAACCGUAGCUACUACCGGAUAAUAUUUUGAACCGCAUGGAUCAAAAGUGAAAGACGGUUUUGCCGUCACUUAUAGAUGGAUCCGCGCUGCAUUAGCUAGUUGGUAAGGUAACGGCUUACCAAGGCAACGAUGCAUAGCCGACCUGAGAGGGUGAUCAGCCACACUGGAACUGAGACACGGUCCAGACUCCUACGGGAGGCAGCAGUGGGGAAUCUUGCACAAUGGGCGCAAGCCUGACGGAGCAACGCCGCGUGAGUGAUGAAGGUCUUCGGAUCGUAAAGCUCUUUUGUUAGGAAAGAACAGAAGUGUGUGUAACUGUGCACGUCUUGACGGUACCUAAUCAGUAAGCACCGGCUAACUUCGUG
rnacentral:rRNA from 1 species